UGCACUGUGUAAAUUGUGUGCAGCGCUCACGCAAACAACGGCCCGACGCGGGAAAGGUAAAUCGAACGUUUGAAAAUACACGACAAACAGCAGAACGCGAAAGAACUCGGCAAACAAAGCGCUUCCUGGUGUCUGGUUGGGAAGAAAGUCCCUGGUGCUGUGAGAAGGUAUCGGUGGGUGGUAGACCUUUCAAAUGAAAUGCAGAUGCCCUAACAGGCACAUGUGAAACAAGAGGAGUUUACACCUUUAAGCUUGAGCUUCUUGUUGAGUGACUUAUUUGGUGGACGCUAAAGAGGGCUUCUCUGCACGAAAUAAUCACGUGUGGAAGCAUGCUUAAGAGGCUGUGUGGUAUUGUGGCAUAAUCGAAAAAGGAACACACGGGCGUGGGUCGUAGGCGUCGAUUAAUGAAGAGCAUGGUAUAGAAAGGCACGACUCAAACGCACCACACCAUACACAAUACAAGCUGGUACAAGAUUGAAUUCGCAAUCAGCAAUCGUUUGUCAGCUCGAUCCAUCAAACCAACAAUCACACGUAAAGCGUAUGGAGCUUGGCUGGCCAAAAAGAAUACCCUAACCUGUUGCCCCCUUUGGCGGGUCGACAUUGGUCCCCGCGACAACACUCGGUUCGACUGGGGCGCCUACGCAAAAUAAGCAAAUGAAUCCUCUGGCGACGGCGUAGCUUAUUACCUGGUCGGCGGAGGAACCUCUCUAACGCGCAGUAAAAUACCUGCCCACAGAGGUUGCGCGCUCCCAACAAGCACCACACUUCAGACUUCAUUUAACUGGCAAACUUGUUCGACGAGUUCCCGGCUGCGAACGCUAGCCUCACAACGGGCAAUGAUGCUUCGUCAUGAGACGAGUGUGUGGCAUCGAUAGUUUGAAGUCAUAAUUUUUCGUAAUAACCAUCCGAAUGGACAAUUUACAGCCAUCGAUCGAUCGAGCGGGAAAGAUCACCGGAGCGGAUUCGAGGACUUUUUGCCAGCAGCAGCAGCAGCAUGACGAAUCUUCAAGCGCACUUUAACCCAUAAGUUACUGUUAAUUUAUACCGCCAAUUGGCAACAGGCCAGGCUCGAUUGAGUUACCACACGAUGACGCUCCCACCGAUCAUUGUUGUUACAUGCGUCACAAUAAAAUGGGUUAAAAUAUUUAUCCUUCUCGAUAGCUUCGGGACACUUCAACACUUUUUAUUCUUCAUUGCUGGGAGAUUACAAUCGGGAAGCGAUGCAUCUUCUGUCCCACACACACACACACGCACAGGUGACAGCUAAGCAACAAAAACAUGACAACAAAUCCGCUCGCAAGCGUCCCCACAGUCAAAACAAAGGAUUUCAAUCGGCCGCAAGCGAUGAACCGGCGGAAGUGUAGCAUCCACAAGUUUCCUGCCGAGACGAGCCCCGAAAAGAAAAAAACUAUUUUAACAAUAAUUAGAGUUCUUCGACAUGGAAAAAGCAUGUCAUCGUACGUACGCAGCGCAUACCACUAACGAUACGAUCGUUGCAAUCCGUCCAGGAAAAAGGAAACCGUUUUUUCCGUCCGAUAAUCCGAUUCCGAAAGCAAAAAAAGAGCAGCCACAAAAAUAAUGAAUUGUCCCACGAUGGGAACCGCAGAACAAAAC